rnacentral:rRNA from 1 species
UACAGAGGGUGCUAGCGUUGUUCGGAAUCAUUGGGCGUAAAGCGCACGUAGGCGGCCUGUUAAGUCGGGUGUGAAAUCCCUGGGCUCAACCCAGGAAGUGCACUCGAAACUGGCAGGCUUGAGUACUGAAGAGGGUCGCGGAAUUCCCGGUGUAGAGGUGAAAUUCGUAGAUAUCUGGAGGAACACCGGUGGCGAAGGCGGCAUCCUGGACCGGCAUUGACGCUGAGGCGCGAAAGCCAGGGGAGCAAACGGG